CUGUGGUACCGAACAGAGUUAGAAAGAGAACAAUGUACAUCGCACAUUUGGCCGUUCUGCCCAACCCCAAGAUAGUUAAUGAUUGAGAAGAAACGGGUCCAGAAUGUCUCUUGAGGACGUUACAGCGCAAAACCCCACAUAACUACGGCACGGACAACUAAUGGAUCAAUUAGCCUAAAUGGACGUUUCAGUGUCGCCCACUUCCACCGCCGCUUGCUGACAUCACGGCGAAGCGGCCGAGGCGUUUUCCCGAUAAUCGUUUCGCGGCGCUGUUUCAAACCGGCCACGGGCGCACAAACGCACGAGACGGUGUCAUUCCACGCAACAUUAGCGGAACGGGGAAUAUACUUGUUGCGGAGCCGUACGGCGGCGGCAGUGUCCCAAAGCUGUCAAACGCUGCGCACAAGCCUGACGCGCUCCGCUCCGCUCAGCUCCGCUCCGCUCAGCCAGUGGAAAACCAGGCUAAUCCACCAGACAAACAACUCGGGGGGGAAGAUUAGCUUCUUUUUUUCUUUUUUCUUUUUUUUCUUUUUUUUAAUGCUCAAAGCAGAUUCACGUUUUAAACCCGGAAGCCUCCGUAACAGUAACGAGCUUUGGCACCGUGCAGAAUUCAGACCUCGGCUCUUUUUUUUCUCCUAACACGAUCAGCAGUCACCUGUUCUAAGGAAACGUGUUGGUCGUGCAUAUCGGCGACAAGGCUUGGUCAUCCCUCCAUUAUCGCACGCCAUUCGCAGUCUUUCACAUGAAGAAUUUAAGCAAUGCAGGAAGGGUUGCCUUGUGUGGAGUUGGAGCUACUGUUGUUGUCGUGAUGAUGCUUUUAAACGGCGAAAGUGGUUUGUCUCCCCCCUCCCCCCCCCUUUUUUUAUUAUUGUACGUCCCAUUGUUGUUGUGCUUUUUUUGUUUUUCUUCAUAUGUCACAUAUUUUUGGCAAGCGGCGUGGCUGGCCUGUUGGUAUCAGACAGUAGCGGGGCUAAUCGAGUUGUUUACAUGAAGUGCAGAGGGCGGACCGAGGCGGGCGGAGUCUCGGUCAGCCACAGACGCGACUGGACUACUGGAGAGGCUUCUCUCGCCGAGGGGGCGGAGCUCGGAAAGAAUCAUAACAAGUCUGACGUCACUCGGCCUUGUGGUUGGAAUGAAUUAUGUAGUUUUCAACCGAGGCUUGCAGGAGGAAUAAUAAUAUAUGUGUAUUUAUUUGUACCUGAAAUUAUUCCACCGUUGCCUUUGCAUGUCAUAAAACAUGGUGGGUGGAAAUAUAUGGUCCUGCAGUCGUCAGAUGAUUAGAUAGAUAGAUCCUUUAUCAUCCUAUAGUAUAGUAAAUUGAAAGGUUUUCCUCCAUACAAACUCUAUAUAUAUAUAUAUAUAUAUAUAUAUAUAUAUAUAUACACACACACACACACAACUUUGUUAAAAGAAACGCUCAACGGUAGGGGAAGUGCUCAACAAAUAAGGAGCAAAAUAAUCCAGUGACUCACUGGAUUUUAUAUAUAUAUUUAUAUAUAUAUACAUACAUACACACACACACACACACAUACAUCAAUACACUAAUACUUAGCUACACAGGUCCACUACAUACUGUUAUAUGAUGCAUUACACCACAAAAUUGAUCAGAGUAAAGAAAAACCAGUUAUAUAUUUGUAGUCCAAUUUGCCACUGAUUUGUUUUAUUCAGGAUCUAUUUUAUGUGCUUUUAUGCCCGUCAACACCAAAUCUAGAUUUUUCUGAGAAAAUACAGCACUAUAUGCCAAAGAUCAUAGGAAAAUAAAGCGAUUCCUGAUCAAUCCACGCCUUUUGAGUCAAUUGGUUUCUUUCAGCCCACACAGGCAAUGCAAAUAUUUGUUUUUGCCCCUUAUUGAAAUGUCAUGUUGCAGUCUUUUCCCCUUCUUAAAUCUCGAAGCUACGUGGUUAGUUUAAAAAAAACAGUCUAAUGGAAUUUUUUGUUAGUAUUGCCUUAGUCACUAGGCAAAGUCCAGUGACCAGUACAGUGACUCUAUAAACACAUAUGGUGGUGACGCAACACCUUUACCACUCAGCUUACCAAAUGUAAAAUUCAAAAGUUUGUGCUGUAUGGAGUUCAGCUGUUGACCUUGCAGGGCAAAGACGGAUGAACAGAAGGAGAGAUGGGGGCGUUGGCUGAACGUAUGGAUGUCAGCAACACAGAGACCCGGCUGCAGACUGCUAGAUUUGACAGGCUGCCCUGGUU